UACGGGGGGGGCUAGCGUUGUUCGGAAUUACUGGGCGUAAAGCGCACGUAGGCGGCUUUGUAAGUUAGAGGUGAAAGCCUGGAGCUCAACUCCAGACUUGCAUUUAAGACUGCAUCGCUUGAAUCCAGGAGAGGUGAGUGGAAUUCCGAGUGUAGAGGUGAAAUUCGUAGAUAUUCGGAAGAACACCAGUGGCGAAGGCGGCUCACUGGACUGGUAUUGACGCUGAGGUGCGAAGGCGUGGGGAGCAAACAGG
rnacentral:rRNA from 1 species